GGAAGGGUGGCCGAGUGGUUUAAGGCAACGGUCUUGAAAACCGUCGUGGGGGGAACCUCACCGUGGGUUCGAAUCCCACCCCUUCCGCCA
rnacentral:tRNA from 1 species